AGCGUGUCAGCUUAAUCGGCUAAGCGAUGUGUUUCGGCCACAAGGAUUGUAAGUUCGACUCUUAUACACGUUA
rnacentral:tRNA from 1 species